CUACAACUUGAGUUGUACUGUGUGAAUCAACAUACAACACGCCUACAACAACGUAGGGGAGUUGUGUUCUUGAUUUACACAGUGCAACUCAAGUUGUGG